rnacentral:rRNA from 1 species
UCCCAGACUCCUACGGGAGGCAGCAGUGGGGAAUAUUGCACAAUGGGGGAAACCCUGAUGCAGCAACGCCGCGUGAGUGAAGAAGUCAUUCGUGAUGUAAAGCUCUAUCAGCAGGGAAGAAAAUGACGGUACCUGAGUAAGAAGCACCGGCUAAAUACGUGCCAGCAGCCGCGGUAAUACGUAUGGUGCAAGCGUUAUCCGGAUUUACUGGGUGUAAAGGGAGCGCAGGCGGCGCGUUAAGCCUGGUGUGAAAGCCCGCGGCCCAACCGCAGGACUGCAUUGGGAACUGGCGCGCUGGAGUGCCGGAGGGGUAGGCGGAAUUCCUAGUGUAGCGGUGAAAUGCGUAGAUAUUAGGAGGAACACCAGUGGCGAGGCGGCCUACUGGACGGUGACUGACGCUGAGGCUCGAAAGCGUGGGGAGCAAACAGGAUUAGAUACCCGAGUAAG